GACGAACGCUGGCGGCGUGCUUAACACAUGCAAGUCGAGCGGUAAGGCUCCUUCGGGAGUACACGAGCGGCGAACGGGUGAGUAACACGUGAGCAAUCUGCCCUUCACAUCGGAAUAACUUCGGGAAACCGAAGCUAAUACCGGAUACGACCAUCGGUGGCAUCAUCUGGUGGUGGAAAGUUUCCGGCGGUGGGGGAUGAGCUCGCGGCCUAUCAGCUUGUUGGUGGGGUAANGGCCUACCAAGGCGACGACGGGUAGCCGGCCUGAGAGGGUGACCGGCCACACUGGGACUGAGACACGGCCCAGACUCCUACGGGAGGCAGCAGUGGGGAAUAUUGGACAAUGGGCGAAAGCCUGAUCCAGCAACGCCGCGUGAGGGAUGACGGCCU
rnacentral:rRNA from 1 species